AUGGCGGUCGCGUCGCGCCUGGCGGUGGUGCGGGUGGUCCAGCCGGACGGCGGCGCGGCGGGCGGGAGCAGGAAGGGGCGGCAGGGGUUCGCGGUGGUCGGGCUCCCCGCGGCGGGGCGGAGGGGGAGGCGGCGAGGCGGGGCCGUGGCGGCCAGCCCCCCCACGGAGGAGGCGGCCAAGCUGACGGAGCCGCUCACCAAGGAGGACCUCGUCGCCUACCUCGCGUCCGGCUGCAAGCCCAAGGAGAACUGGAGAAUUGGCACAGAACAUGAAAAGUUUGGUUUUGAUGUCGAAACAUUGCGCCCUAUAACGUACGAUCAGAUCAGUGCUAUACUCAAUGGGCUGUCUGAGAGAUUUGAAUGGGACAAGAUAAUGGAAGAAAACCAUGUUAUUGGUCUCAAGCAGGGAAAGCAAAACAUUUCACUAGAACCUGGUGGCCAGUUUGAACUUAGUGGCGCUCCCCUCGAAACAUUACAUCAAACUUGUGCGGAGGUCAAUUCACAUCUUUAUCAGGUCAAAGCAGUUGGAGAGGAAUUGGGAGUAGGAUUUCUUGGAAUGGGUUUUCAGCCAAAAUGGGCCCUGGCUGAUAUACCAAUAAUGCCCAAGGGAAGAUAUGAAAUUAUGAGGAAUUACAUGCCUAAAGUUGGUACUCUUGGCCUUGAUAUGAUGUUCCGCACGUGCACUGUACAGGUUAAUCUUGAUUUCAGUUCAGAGCAAGAUAUGAUAAGAAAAUUCCGUGCUAGCCUUGCAUUGCAGCCUAUCGCUACAGCAAUAUUCGCAAAUUCUCCCUUCAAAGAAGGGAAACCAAAUGGGUUUCUCAGUUUAAGAAGCCAUAUCUGGACUGAUACUGAUAACAACCGCUCGGGGAUGCUUCCUUUUGUUUUUGAUGACUCAUUCGGAUUUGAGCAAUAUGUGGACUAUGCAUUGGACGUCCCAAUGUAUUUUGUAUACCGGAACAAGACUUACAUUGACUGUACUGGAAUGUCAUUUCGGGAUUUUAUGGCAGGAAAGCUCCCACAGGUUCCAGGGGAGUUGCCCACUUUGAACGAUUGGGAGAACCAUCUAACAACAAUUUUUCCUGAGGUUAGGUUGAAGAGAUACAUGGAGAUGAGAGGUGCUGAUGGUGGACCUUGGAGGAGAUUGUGUGCUUUGCCUGCAUUUUGGGUUGGGUUGUUGUAUGACGACGAAUCACUACAGAGCAUUAUUGACAUGACUGCUGACUGGACAAAGGAAGAAAGAGAGAUGUUGAGACGGAAGGUCCCAGUAACUGGUUUGAAGACACCAUUCCGGGAUGGGUAUGUAAGAGAUUUAGCUGAAGAUGUUCUCCAGUUAGCUAAGAAUGGAUUAGAAAGAAGAGGAUACAAGGAGGUUGGUUUCCUGAGAGAGGUCGACGAAGUUGUUAGAACAGGAGUGACACCUGCCGAGAAGCUUCUGAAUCUAUACGAGACAAAGUGGCAGCGCAGCGUGGACCCUGUGUUCGAGGAGUUGUUAUAUUGA
rnacentral:rRNA from 1 species